UACAGAGGUCCCAAGCGUUGUUCGGAUUCACUGGGCGUAAAGGGUGCGUAGGCGGCGAGGUAAGUCAGACGUGAAAUCCCUCAGCUUAACUGGGGAACUGCGUCUGAUACUGGAUGGCUCGAGUGCAGGAGAGGAACGCGGAAUUCCAGGUGUAGCGGUGAAAUGCGUAGAUAUCUGGAGGAACACCGGUGGCGAAGGCGGCGUUCUGGACUGCAACUGACACUGAGGAACGAAAGCCAGGGGAGCAAACGGG
rnacentral:rRNA from 1 species